rnacentral:misc_RNA from 1 species
UUUCCGUAGGUGAACCUGCGGAAGGAUCAUUCACAAUCAGUGCUUUAUGGCCAUUUUUAAACAUUCCAUAUCCACCUUGUGUGCAACGUUUUGCGACCCUCUAUCGUUAUCUUAUAGGUUACGGAAGGGGGAACUUCUACAAAUUACCAACUUCACCUUUAAUUUAUUUGUCUGCACAUUUAUUAUCACGAAUUAAUUUAAUGCGAAAAUACAACUUUCAACAACGGAUCUCUUGGCUCUC